rnacentral:rRNA from 1 species
GACGAACGCUGGCGGCGUGCUUAACACAUGCAAGUCGAACGAGUGGCGAACGGGUGAGUAAUACGUGGGUAACCUGCCCUCUUUUUGGGAUAACCCUUGAAAUCGGUGCUAAUACCGAAUGAGGGGGGGUGGGCUCGCGGCCUAUCAGCUUGUUGGUGGGGUGAUGGCCUACCAAGGCGGUGACGGGUAGCCGGCCGGAGAGGGGGCCGGGCCACAUGGGGCCUGAGAUAGGGCCGAGACUCCGACGGGAGGCAGAAGGGGGGGAGAUGGCGCAAUGGGCGAAAGCUUGAUGCAGCGAUGACGCGUGGGGGAUGAAGGGUGUAGGGUUGUAAACCGCUUUCGCUAUCGAACGGGUAGGUGGAGAAGAAGCGCCGGCUAACUACGUGCCAGCAGCCGCGGUAAUUC